UAAGGCUUCGUCACCCAAAUUAAAAGACUGAGUUAAUUAUAAAUGGUUCCUCUACUGUACUUUGCCUGUUGGACAGUCAUCCCCUAGAACUGGAGUCUUUCAAGUCCCCCUUCGAUGCUGGUACCUGCCGACACACUCUACUGGGGCGGCUCCCAGUUUUGAAGUUCCUGCCAGCCCUGGGGACCCAACCGGGGUGACAUUUCUGUUCUUUCAUUUGACUUGACGGACCAACCAGCUGCUGCCUCAGACAUCUGUGCCCAACACAUGUGCUCUGGGGUCCCCAAAGACCUGCCAUGCCUGCUGGCUCUUCUGCCUCUGCAGCUGGCCUUCCAGGCUGUGCCAGACUGUCCCGUCCUUGCUCCUGUGUGGUGCUGGUGUUCCUGACGCUCAGUUGUCUGCUCUCCUUCCACACAUGCUUCCUUGGAGACGUGUAUAAAUCAAGGUACUUUAUUAACAACAGUUCCAUCCAUGUCUCUGCCAGAAACGCACUGAAGGCCUCCUUCCCCAGGGGCUCGGAGAAGCUGUUAAGGCACCAGCUAUUCCCCUGAGCAGCCCGAGGCAUCAGCCCGAGGGACUAGUUCCCAGGGGCCUAGGACUCUGCUCACCCAGUCUUGUCAGCUGGAAGGAGGGCUGAGCCCGAAGGCCUGUAGCCUGGGCCUUGUCGCCAGUCCUCUGCGCGCCGGGCCUAAGGUGCUGGGAUGGCGCAGUUCCUUCCCAGUCAGCCUGCAGCAGUUGCGAACCUGAUGCCACUCUGCCUUCCUCGCCCCCACGUCCAGCACAGUCAGCCACAAGGGAGGCUUUUAGUCAAGGCUGUCUCCAGUUUUCCAGAGAGCUUCCCUUCAGCCCUUUGAUAGUCAAACCACCCGCCAUGCAGCUCUUCUCACCUGUUCCUGGACCUCGUUCUGAGUCCUCACUGGCCAGGGGCUGCACCCAUUGGUAAGUGGCAGCAGACACCAACUCCAUCGGGCUUGAGACAACUCUCAGCCUGAAGAAGCCAGAGUGGGUGUUUGCCUAGGCCCGUGCUACCCUAAUCCAGAGAUCGUGGGACCUGUGUUCUGGCUCUUUCGCUGAUUUAGGCUCUGGCCCUGACCACUCCAGGCUGUUCUCCUCUGUGGGGAAGUUUGUCUGGUUAACCCACAAAGCUGUGGAGGAACCAAUGAGGAAAUAGUUGUGUUUUACAAAGUUAAUUG
ensembl:lncRNA